rnacentral:tRNA from 1 species
GCUGUUUUAGCUCAGUUGGUAGAGCACAUCCUUGGUAAGGAUGAGGUCGCCGGUUCAAAUCCGGCAAACAGCU